ACUGGAGUUUGAUCCUGGCUCAGAUUGAACGCUGGCGGCAUGCCUUACACAUGCAAGUCGAACGGCAGCACGGGUGCUUGCACCUGGUGCGGAGUGGCGGAACGGGUGAGUAACGUAUAUCGGAACGUACCUUAUCGUGGGGGAUAACGCAGCGAAAGCUGCGCUAAUACCGCAUACGCCCUGAGGGGAAAGCGGGGGACCGUAAGGCCUCGCGCGAUUAGAGCGGCCGAUA
rnacentral:rRNA from 1 species